AAGAUUAUACUUUCAGGGAUCAUUUCUAUAGUUUGUUAGUAGAGACAUUUCUCUGGACAUGUAGGGCACACAAGAAAAAGAAAAAGAGCUUUUU
rnacentral:snoRNA from 1 species